rnacentral:rRNA from 1 species
AGAUUAGAACGCUUGGCGGUCAUGCCUAACACAUGCAAGUCGAGGCGGCAGCGCGGGGGCGACCCUGGCGGCGAGCGGCGGACGGGUGAGUAAGGCAUCGGAAUCUGCCCUGAUGUGGGGGAUAACGUAGGGAAACUUACGCUAAUACCGCAUACGACCGAGAAGGUGAAAGCGGGGGACCGAAAGGCCUCGCGCAGCAGGACUGAGCCGAUGUCCGAUUAGCUGGUUGGUGGGGUAACGGCCCCACCAAGGCGACGAUCGUAGCUGGUCUGAGAGGAUGAUCAGCCACACUGGAAACUGAGACACGGCCCCAGACUCCUACGGGCGGCAGCCUGAAGC